rfam:Cavia porcellus supercont2_20 genomic scaffold, whole genome shotgun sequence.
GGGGAUUUAGCUCAGCGGCAUAAGCGCCUGCCUUGCAAGCAGGCAGUCGUGAGUUCAAUCCCCC